rnacentral:sRNA from 1 species
GGACUCGAAUCCCGUUGCCGACUCGCGCUCUCGGCUUCUGCUCCGGGGCUUCUUCCCUGCCCGCCCGGGGCCCUGACCGUGGCUUCUUCCCCGGCCUGAUCUGCGCAGCCCGGCGGGCGCCCAGAAGGAGCAGGCGGCGCGGGGGCGCGCUGGGCGGGGGAGGCGUGGCCGGAGCUGCGGCGGCAAGCGGGCUGGGACUGCUCGGCCGCCUCCUGCCCGGCGAGCAGCUCAGACCAUGUCGCCUGAAGAAUGGACGUAUCUAGUGGUUCUUCUUAUCUCCAUCCCCAUCGGCUUCCUCUUUAAGAAAGCCGGUCCUGGGCUGAAGAGAUGGGGAGCAGCCGCUGUGGGCCUGGGGCUCACCCUGUUCACCUGUGGCCCCCACACUUUGCAUUCUCUGGUCACCAUCCUCGGGACCUGGGCCCUCAUUCAGGCCCAGCCCUGCGCGCCUCCUGCUUUUGCCCAGCU